CUUGACAUGCCUGGAACGUAGGUGAUAGCCGAGGGUUCAUUCGAGAACCAGUACACAGCCGCUGCAUGGCUGUCGUCAGCUCGUGUCGUGAGAUGUUGGUUUAAAUCCCGCAACGAGCGCAACCCUUGUCAGUAAUGGACUUAAUUUAGUUGAGCGCUUUUGGGACACUGCCGGUGACAAACCGGAGGAAGGAGGGGAUGACGUCUAUUCCUCAUGGCCUUUAUGGGUAGGGCUUCACACGUCAUAAAAUGGUGGGUACAGAGGGUUGCCAAGCCGCGGGGCGGAGCAAAUCCCUAAAAGCCGAUCGUAGUCCGGAUUGCAGUCUGCAACUCGGCUGCAUGAAAUCAGAAUCGCUAGUAAUCGCACAUCAACAUGCUGCGGAGAAUACGUUCCCGGGUCUUGUACACACCG
rnacentral:rRNA from 1 species